rnacentral:sRNA from 1 species
GCCAGCUGCAGUGAUAUGGAUCUAUAGUCCAAAUUACUUGGGAGAUUGAGGCAGAAGGAUCGCUUGAGCCCAGGAGUUCAGGGCCAGCCUGGACAAUAUAGCGAGGCCUGUCUCUU